GACGAACGCUGGCGGCGUGCUUAACACAUGCAAGUCGAGCGGAAAGGCCUGCUUUCCCUGGUGGAUUGCGGGUACUCGAGUGGCGAACGGGUGAGUAACACGUGCGUUAUCUUCCCCCAACUCGGGUAGAAGCCUGGGAAACUGGGGCUAAUUCCCGAUAGGACUGCAGGGUGGGUCCGGAGGUGGAAAACGAUGGGCUAGGGGUUGGGGAUGAGCUCGCGGCCUAUCAGGUUGUUGGUGGGGUAAUGUCCGACCAGGACGGGGCCGGGUAGCCGGCCUGGGGGGGUGCACCGUGACAUUGGGACUGGGAUACGGCCCAGACGCCUACGGGCGGCAGCAGUGGGGAAGCUUGCAGAGUGGACGGUAGCCUGAUGGAGCGACGCCGCGUGGGGGAUGCCGGCCUUCGGGUUGUAGACUUCUUUCGACCGAGCGGAAGCCACCUGGUUGGAAGGGUGGUGACGGUAGUGGUAUAAGAAGCACCGGCUAACUACGUG
rnacentral:rRNA from 1 species